GGUUCUCACUUCUCUCGGAAUAUUUGUUCACAGAAAUUUUUCGUUUCCCUAAAAACAUUCUUUCGAUUUCGUGAAGCCUUUAAACCAUUUUCUUUCAGAAGAGGUUCUCUCUUAUGUUUUUCGUAGAAUAAUGAAAUUCUGUCACUGUUCUUCUUCCCUAAUUUGUUAGAUAAGUUAAAAGAUACAGUUCGUGAAAAUGGGUUAAAUUAGCAUUUAGUUGUUUGAAUUGUCAAUGGCGAGUUCAUGUACUGAUGUGGGUUUUCGAUGCAUGUAUUGUGCAUGAUAUGCAGGUCUUGUUGAGUCUGCUCAAGAAUUAGGUGCUAGACAUUCGGCGUCAUUGCUUAGGAAUCACAUGAUAAAGAGUACUUUACUAUCCAGGUUUCGUAUUUUGAUUUAUUAUAGACGUUUAGUUGAUAACAAACCAGAUUUUUGUGUUUGCUGAUUCAUUGGCUCAACUGGGACUGGGAGCAUCAAAGUCACAGUACCUACCAUAAUCUUGAUUACUAACUGAUUCAAUAACCACAUAUCUGAAAUUCUUUCAUUCGUCUGUGCACAAAAGUGCAUUAUGGCACUGUUAUUGUGUUGCAUGAGUAUUAUUGGGGUCGCUUUCUUGCUGCAUCAUUAAAUUAUCUCACUGGAAUUUGUUGAAAUCUGUAUUGAAGAAUGAGAAUUUGCCUCUAUUAUGUUCAAGUCUUGUCUAAUGUCUAUGAACAGUUUGGCUUAAGAUCUCUUGGUGUGUUUUUUCUUUCAAUAAUUUUGAGUUUCACUUGGUGUUAGUUUACAUAGCAAAUGUGUGACAAACUGAUUGAAAUUUAGGUAAUUUUUUCCAAAUUUUAAUCCUAUUUGUUUUGGACA